rnacentral:misc_RNA from 1 species
AGAAGUAAAAGUCGUAACAAGGUUUCCGUAGGUGAACCUGCGGAAGGAUCAUUAAUGAGUUGUCAUGGGGUUCGAUGCUGGCAGCCAGUUUUUGGAUGCAUGUGCUUGCCCUAACAAUCAUCUUCUUCCAAACACCUGUGCACAUUUUUGAGGGAGUCUUGAGUUGGUUGCCGCUCUUGGGUGAUUUUCUCACAUUCCCUUAAAUCAUUAUACGCUAUUAACAAUGUUGAACGUGCUCUGUGCCGCAAGGCUAUUAAUAUAAUACAACUUUUAACAACGGAUCUCUUGGCUCUC